CAGAGUUAAGGCUUGGGAGAAAAUAAUAGAAGAGUGAGGACUAAUAACCAUCAAAUUAAGGCAAAUGGUGAAAGCCAGAAAUGUCUCCUUGGAAGUGUUACUGGAAAAAGGGGUCUUGAUACAGACAUGAAGUGAAGGUUCUUGGAUUCCACACAGGAAGGAAUUCAAGGUGAGUCACAGAGUACAGUGAGAAAAGAUAGUUUAUUAAAAGCUAUGACAUUACACAGUAGGGCAUCCUCAGAAGGCAAGGAGUUGAAUGCAACACCUUUGUUUUAAGUUUUUCUUAUAUAGAAGUCUUGUAUCUGUAAAGAUUAAUUAAGCUGUAUCUAGUCGUGGGUGGUCAGACAACAGGACAAAAUUGAUUAUUCUAUUUAUUCCAAGAAAACUAUCCUUGACACUUUCCUGUGUGAAAAUAUCAAAACAUGACUGUUAUUAUCUUGAAAGCAUAUAUCGUUAUGAAUAUUGGGACAUCUGGACUCUUCAUUGCAGAUGUGUGUGUUUAUAGGGAGCUGAACUUAAAAUCACAUUACUCUGACUCUCCUACACUCCUGAUUCCCUAACUGCAGCAUAUACAGAGACUCUCACUUCAUGCAGAAGCACCUGGUCCCCAUCACCAAAUGAAUCUGAAUCUUAAGUCCAGGACUGAAUUUUAAAAAUAAGACCAGUUCAGUUCUAGCUGAAUUCCCAGCCUAGUCUGAUCACUAACCAGGUUUAGGGUCUCAGUUUCGAUACAGUGAAAUUAUAAGACAUUUGAGAAAUAAUUCAUUGUAGUUAAAAUCUUCAGUAUCUACACUCCCCUGAACUCUGAAUCUGCAAAAGUAGUCCAUUCCUUUCUGUUAAGGGAUAGCAUUUUUUCAUUGUUUGAAGAUGAUAUAGUGUCCUCUUCCUUGCAGGACAGUUUAUGUCCCACCUAUGAUUUGUGCUUGGUAUGAUUUCAAUUAUUUUAAGUCAUUCAGGCUUGCUUCAUGAGAAAGUUUGUUGUUGAUCUUACAAUAUGUUCCAUGUAAAAAUGAGUGGAAUGUAUAUUACGUGGUUGUAGGGUGGAGUGUUCUGUAGAGCUUUAGGUCCAAUUGGUCAAGCAUCAAGUUUAAGUCCAGAGUUUCUUUGUUAGGUUUUUGCCUCAAUAAUCUAUCUAAUGCUGUCAAUGUGGUGUCAACUCCUGCCACUAUUACUGUAUGAUUGGGUAAGUCUUUUCAUAGGCCAAGAAGUACUUGUUUUAUAAAUCUGUCUGCACCAAUGUUGGAUGAGAACAUAUUUUGGACAAUAAAAACUGCUUGUUGGAUUGUAUCUUUUAUUAUUAGGUAAAGCCAUUCAUUGUCCUUUUAAAUUUUUAUUCACUUAAAGUCUGUUUUACAUAAGAAUAGUAACUCCUUCUCUUUUUCAUUUUCUGUUUGCAGGA
rnacentral:lncRNA from 1 species